rnacentral:rRNA from 1 species
GACGUAGGGCGCGAGCGUUGUCCGGAUUUAUUGGGCGUAAAGAGCUCGUAGGCGGCUUGUCGCGUCGUUCGUGAAAACCCAUGGCUCAACUGUGGGCUUGCGGUCGAUACGGGCAGGCUAGAGUUCGGUAGGGGAGACUGGAAUUCCUGGUGUAGCGGUGAAAUGCGCAGAUAUCAGGAGGAACACCGGUGGCGAAGGCGGGUCUCUGGGCCGAUACUGACGCUGAGGAGCGAAAGCGUGGGGAGCGAACAGG